rnacentral:rRNA from 1 species
UAACGGCUGAACCAGCAACUUGGAGGAAUGUACUUGCAUCAUUGUAGAGAUGAUGCAAGAUCGACUAUGUCGAAUAAAAUUCUAGGUAGAAUUAUGAUAAUGACAUUGUCUGCCUAUGUGUCUUGACCAAAUUACGUGCCAGCAGUCGCGGUAAUACGUAGAAGACUAGUGUUAUUCAUGUUUAAUCGGUUUAAAGGGUACCUAGACGGUAAAUCAAG